CGCCCGGGAGUAAAAUCCGCCGUAGUCGGAGGCGCUGCCGUAGAGCGAGUCCCCGUGGAGGCUGGGGAAGACGACGGGCGCGGCGCUCGGGGGCAGCAGCACCGAGUCCUUGCAGCGAGAUUCAGACAGGUAUCACCUUUUAUUUUUAAAACAAGCCAAGAGACGCAAACGUUAAAGACCAGUGCCAUCUCAAAUCCCCGGGCGUGAAUACUUCGUCUGUCACGACUGUCCCUGGGAAUCCACAGGAGGUGAACUGAAUAAGAUUAGACUAUUUACCCCAUCAACUCUCCAUCAAAGAAGUCUGAGUCGUUUUGCCGUGGAACCCCCGGUUUUGAUACCCGCUUCGCAAAACCUGCCCUCGGAGUUUCUCAUUUCCCAUGCGCUCUUCGCUAGCCUGGCAAACGGAAAAUUGUGUUAAACAAACAAUCAGUUG